GCCCUAGUAGUUUAACUAAAGCACCGGUCUUGUAAUCCGGAAACGAGGGUUAAAAUCCCCCCUGAGGCC
rnacentral:tRNA from 2 species